UGAACAAGGGGAUCUUUAUUUUUUUACCAAGGUGUUUUUAUUUUUUAAUCAAGUCAUUUCCUUGCUAUAGAUGUCAUAUUUUUUAAUUAUUAAUUUAUUUAUUAUUACAGCGUGUGUACGCCAUGGGUGAUGUGUACCCGGAGUCGGCAAAACUGCCCAAGGGUGACUACAGUUUGCAAUUGUUGUUCAUUGAGAGAAAAUUGGACAAGGAGGCAGUGCAAUUGAGCUUUUAUACACAACCAGAUGGUCCAGUGACACGAUAUGAGUUACCAUAUGUGGUUACUUUGGGGAGGGACCAGCCCAUCUAUUUUUCCAUCCCGACCAGCUCGUUUCUUUUUCACCUGCACUCACAACCAAAUGUUGUCAGGUGCUGUUGUGAAAUUACAUAAGUGUAAAUCCCAGACGUGGAACAGAUGCUAUAAAUGCAAGUGAAUGUACUGAACUGAACCUCUGAUAUGAUGCCUAGAAUUCUUGCUGAAGAGCUUCGUAUUUGGU